rnacentral:rRNA from 1 species
UCCUACGGGAGGCAGCAGUGGGGAAUAUUGCACAAUGGGCGAAAGCCUGAUGCAGCGACGCCGCGUGAGGGAUGACGGCCUUCGGGUUGUAAACCUCUUUCAGCAGGGACGAAGCGAAAGUGACGGUACCUGCAGAAGAAGCACCGGCCAACUACGUGCCAGCAGCCGCGGUAAUACGUAGGGUGCAAGCGUUGUCCGGAAUUACUGGGCGUAAAGAGCUCGUAGGCGGUUUGUCGCGUCGUCUGUGAAAACUCGAGGCUCAACCUCGAGCUUGCAGGCGAUACGGGCAGACUUGAGUACUGCAGGGGAGACUGGAAUUCCUGGUGUAGCGGUGAAAUGCGCAGAUAUCAGGAGGAACACCGGUGGCGAAGGCGGGUCUCUGGGCAGUAACUGACGCUGAGGAGCGAAAGCGUGGGUAGCGAACAGGAUUAGAUACCCUGGUAGA